GAUGAACGCUGGCGGCGUGCCUAAUACAUGCAAGUCGAGCGAACGGACGAGAAGCUUGCUUCUCUGAUGUUAGCGGCGGACGGGUGAGUAACACGUGGAUAACCUACCUAUAAGACUGGGAUAACUUCGGGAAACCGUAGCUAAUACCGGAUAAUAUUUUGAACCGCAUGGUUCAAAAGUGAAAGACGGUCUUGCUGUCACUUAUAGAUGGAUCCGCGCUGCAUUAGCUAGUUGGUAAGGUAACGGCUUACCAAGGCAACGAUGCAUAGACGACCUGAGAGGGUGAUCGGCCACACUGGAACUGAGACACGGUCCAGACUCCUACGGGAGGCAGCAGUAGGGAAUCUUCCGCAAUGGGCGAAAGCCUGACGGAGCAACGCCGCGUGAGUGAUGAAGGUCUUCGGAUCGUAAAACUCUGUUAUUAGGGAAGAACAUAUGUGUAAGUAACUGUGCACAUCGUGACGGUACCUAAUCAGAAAGCCACGGCUAACUACGUG
rnacentral:rRNA from 1 species